CCUGCCUAUGGCCCCCCUGUGACUAGAAAUGGAGAUCUGGAAUCUUCCCCUUAUGAUGUCAUAAGGGGCAAGCUUGCCUCCCCUUUCUCAGCUUUUCCCGCCCAGAGAAUUUGUCCAACACAAGAGAGAGAGAGAGAGA